UACGUAGGGUGCAAGCGUUGUCCGGAAUUAUUGGGCGUAAAGAGCUCGUAGGCGGCUUGUCGCGUCGGCUGUGAAAGCCCGGGGCUUAACCUCGGGUCUGCAGUCGAUACGGGCUGGCUAGAGUGUGGUAGGGGAGAUCGGAAUUCCUGGUGUAGCGGUGAAAUGCGCAGAUAUCAGGAGGAACACCGGUGGCGAAGGCGGAUCUCUGGGCCAUUACUGACGCUGAGGAGCGAAGGCGUGGGGAGCGAACAGG
rnacentral:rRNA from 1 species